GUCCUCCCUCAAGAUUGCACCUGGGGAGUUUCCAGGACUCUACCAGUCUCGGCUACAGGAGGGAGAGUCAAGCAGGGGCAUACUCAUUCCAUUCCUAGCUUGGGCAGUGGCUAGCAAGUGGAAGGCAAUCUGCUACAAGU
rnacentral:snoRNA from 1 species